GACCUCAAAUCAGGUAGGACUACCCGCUGAACUUAAGCAUAUCAAUAAGCGGAGGAAAAGAAACUAACAAGGAUUCCCCUAGUAACUGCGAGUGAAGCGGGAAAAGCUCAAAUUUUGAAUCUGGUGGUCGUUUUGGCCGUCCGAGUUGUAAUCUAGAGAAGCGUCUUCCGUGCUGGCCCGUGUACAAGUCUCCUGGAAGGGAGCGUCAUAGAGGGUGAGAAUCCCGUCUUUGACACGGACUACCAGUGCUAUGUGAUGCGCUCUCGACGAGUCGAGUUGUUUGGGAAUGCAGCUCAAAUCGGGUGGUAAACUCCAUCUAAAGCUAAAUACAGGCGAGAGACCGAUAGCGAACAAGUACCGUGAGGGAAAGAUGAAAAGAACUUUGGAAAGAGAGUUAAACAGUACGUGAAAUUGCUGAAAGGGAAACGCUCGAUGUCAGUCGCGUCGGCCGGGGAUCAACCUCGCUUCGUUGCUGGGUGCACUUUCUGGUCGACGGGUCAGCAUCGGUUUCGGUCGUCGUACAAUGGCGGAGGGAACGUGGCACUCUUCCGAGUGUGUUAUAGCCUUUCGUCGCAUGCGGCGGUCGGGACCGAGGAACUCAGCAACGACCUCC
rnacentral:rRNA from 1 species